GCUAAAGUAGCAAAGCGGUAAUGCAAGAAAUCUAAGGUUUCUCUAUCGAAGGUUCAAGUCCUUUCUUUAGUU